CAGAGAUUUCCGAAUGGGGAAACCCAGCAUGAGUUAUGUCAUGUUAUCGAUAUGUGAAUACAUAGCAUAUCAGAAGGCACACCCGGAGAACUGAAACAUCUUAGUACCCGGAGGAAGAGAAAGAAAAUUCGAUUCCCUUAGUAGCGGCGAGCGAAACGGGAAGAGCCCAAACCAACAAGCUUGCUUGUUGGGGUUGUAGGACACUCUAUACGGAGUUACAAAGGACGACAUUAGACGAAUCAUCUGGAAAGAUGAAUCAAAGAAGGUAAUAAUCCUGUAGUCGAAAAUGUUGUCUCUCUUGAGUGGAUCCUGAGUACGACGGAGCACGUGAAAUUCCGUCGGAAUCUGGGAGGACCAUCUCCUAAGGCUAAAUACUCUCUAGUGACCGAUAGUGAACCAGUACCGUGAGGGAAAGGUGAAAAGCACCCCGGAAGGGGAGUGAAAUAGAACCUGAAACCGUGUGCUUACAAGUAGUCAGAGCCCGUUAAUGGGUGAUGGCGUGCCUUUUGUAGAAUGAACCGGCGAGUUACGAUUUGAUGCAAGGUUAAGCAGUAAAUGUGGAGCCGUAGCGAAAGCGAGUCUGAAUAGGGCGUUUAGUAUUUGGUCGUAGACCCGAAACCAGGUGAUCUACCCUUGGUCAGGUUGAAGUUCAGGUAACACUGAAUGGAGGACCGAACCGACUUACGUUGAAAAGUGAGCGGAUGAACUGAGGGUAGCGGAGAAAUUCCAAUCGAACCUGGAGAUAGCUGGUUCUCUCCGAAAUAGCUUUAGGGCUAGCCUCAAGUGAUGAUUAUUGGAGGUAGAGCACUGUUUGGACGAGGGGCCCCUCUCGGGUUACCGAAUUCAGACAAACUCCGAAUGCCAAUUAAUUUAACUUGGGAGUCAGAACAUGGGUGAUAAGGUCCGUGUUCGAAAGGGAAACAGCCCAGACCACCAGCUAAGGUCCCAAAAUAUAUGUUAAGUGGAAAAGGAUGUGGCGUUGCCCAGACAACUAGGAUGUUGGCUUAGAAGCAGCCAUCAUUUAAAGAGUGCGUAAUAGCUCACUAGUCGAGUGACACUGCGCCGAAAAUGUACCGGGGCUAAACAUAUUACCGAAGCUGUGGAUUGUCCUUUGGACAAUGGUAGGAGAGCGUUCUAAGGGCGUUGAAGCAUGAUCGUAAGGACAUGUGGAGCGCUUAGAAGUGAGAAUGCCGGUGUGAGUAGCGAAAGACGGGUGAGAAUCCCGUCCACCGAUUGACUAAGGUUUCCAGAGGAAGGCUCGUCCGCUCUGGGUUAGUCGGGUCCUAAGCUGAGGCCGACAGGCGUAGGCGAUGGAUAACAGGUUGAUAUUCCUGUACCACCUAUAAUCGUUUUAAUCGAUGGGGGGACGCAGUAGGAUAGGCGAAGCGUGCGAUUGGAUUGCACGUCUAAGCAGUAAGGCUGAGUAUUAGGCAAAUCCGGUACUCGUUAAGGCUGAGC
rnacentral:rRNA from 1 species